ACGAACGCUGGCGGCAUGCCUAACACCUGCCAGUCGAACGAUGCCUUCGGGCAUAGUGGCGCACGGGUGCGUAACGCGUGGGAAUCUGCCUUUCGGUUCGGAAUAACUCAGGGAAACUUGAGCUAAUACCGGAUAACGUCGCAAGACCAAAGAUUUAUCACCGAAAGAUGAGCCCGCGUAGGAUUAGCUAGUUGGUGAGGUAAAGGCUCACCAAGGCGACGAUCCUUAGCUGGUCUGAGAGGAUGAUCAGCCACACUGGGACUGAGACACGGCCCAGACUCCUACGGGAGGCAGCAGUGGGGAAUAUUGGACAAUGGGCGAAAGCCUGAUCCAGCAAUGCCGCGUGAGUGAUGAAGGUCUUAGGGUUGUAAAGCUCUUUUACCCGGGAAGAUAAUGACGGUACCGGGAGAAUAAGCCCCGGCUAACUCCGUG
rnacentral:rRNA from 1 species